AUUUAAUAGCGAUUAUUUUAAGGAUGUUAGCUUUAGAUAUUUAGAAUUACAUAAUACAACGUAUUGGAAUGUGGUUAGUUUAUGAGUAUAUUAUAGUAGAUAUAGAGAUGUAGUUAAUAAUUGGCUUUGUAUAUAUAACCCUAUGUAAAUAUAUUCAGUAAUGGAGUUGUGGCGUCCCAGCAGAUGUCGCCACACGCAGAGCGCGGCAAAUACAGGACGCACGCCCUCGCGGCGAGGGAGCAACCCCCACGCAUCCGACGGGGUAUAAAAGGCCCGUCGGACGCCCUAGAAAACAUUCGCCUUCUGCUCCCUAGCGAAGAAGAAUCACCUACUGCUCUCUAGCGUAGAUCGCUCAGCUUCUUAUCGAGCAACACCGCUCAGCUCUUUAGCGAACAAAACCGCUGCUCUCUAGCGCGGACAAACAUAAACACAUUCCUCUCCACCAGCACACGGAUGCCGAAGACACCGCGCUCGGAGGAGAAGCAUCGGAGGAACGUCCUCGCUCAGUUCUGGAAACGACCACGGCUACCCCGGAUGGUGUCACCAUUGUCACCAUCUCCGACCAAACUUUGAGGCCAGCACCCGCGCUGGCGCUUAGAGGAAAUCGCCACGCCAGAGAAGCUAUACCUCUACGUGUGCCCCUGCGCCGUGACACUCGCGGACCCACGCCGAUAUCUAAUUCGCGCACACUAUCGGAAGUCUCGCGUUCUAAAGGGUGUGGCAUUUUUAACGCACAUUUUAAAUUUGCCGCCAUUUUUGAACUACCGAAUGUAAACUCACCAAAUUUGGCAACUGUCAAGUUUGAUGUUUGACGUUUGACAUUCCAUAAAAAUGUCGCGCUACACCUCGCAAGAACGUUUGUUGAUUCGAAAGUUACGUAAUCAUUUUGGUGUUCAUAACCGGCCAUAUCGCAGUACAGUAGACAGAUUAAUCAAAAAAUUUGAGCGCACUUAUUCACUGAAGGACGAUAGAGACCAUCGCCAUGUUCGACCACGUCGAAACAACCUGCUGUGAAUGAGAGUGUGCAAGAAAACCCAAACAUGUUAAUUCGCCAUCGAUCUCAGCAAUUAAACCUUUCAACAAGAACUCUGGGUCGAAUUAUACAUGUUGAUCUUCACCUUCGAGCUUACAAAAUUCAGCUGACUCAAGAAUUGCACGAAAAUGACCAUACGCAGCGCAGAAAUUGAACCAAUCCUUCGCAUCGCAUGCGGCAGUGUUAUGCUCAUGAAAAGAGAAGAUUGGGUGACACUUUUAAAAUGGCAAACAUAUCUCGAAAUGAAGUUUUUCCGAUCACAAGAGAUCGAAAGGUCGAAUGUGAACGACGAGAAAGAUGUCGAACGAGAUCAAAGUUCGGAUACGCUUACGCGCAGCUUCACCUUAAACAAAGCGGGGAAGUUGAUCCCAGAAUCAUACGAUCUAUCGUUCUCACUCAUUAACGCAACCUCUCUCCAGUUUUCCGCAAACGAUUACAACAAUUGUACAAUAUCUACUGAACAUUUUUCCCCACUAAUUAUUAGUUAGCAUCGAGCUCGGUAUACAUUACAUCAUGUCAUCACUUAAAAGAAAAAUCCCGAAAAAGCCGAAAAUCAACAAAGUUAAUAUACUUCACUCUAUGUUAAUCAAACCGCCAGCCUGCACCACCAAUAAGUCGGGAAAAAAAAACCAAGCCAUCAACUUCAUUGGUAGAACUGCCAAUCAACAACUGGCAAACUGGCGUAUUAAUGCAAAUGGAUCCAGUACUCACUAAUGGAGGACCAUUGGAUAAAGUGAUUACAAUUUACAGACAAUUCGACAAUCACCACGGGUCAUUUGAGCGAGAAUUUGGAACUGGACCUACUGUUAGCGCAGCUGGAUAGGGACCCCGCAACAAACUAUUUAUUCGAGCCAACUCGAAUAAUACCGACAUCGCAAUUAACAGAACCUAUGCGGUCGCCGACACCACCACUACAGCUGUCGCUAACAACACGGCUACCGCCGCCACCACCACAGCUGUCGCUACCAGCAUCGAUUUUGCUGUCUCCUCCUCCGGCAGAACCUUUCGUGCCAUCGGGCCAAAAACGACCGUAAAUUUAUAUCAUAAUACUUGUAGAACUCCAUCGUAAUAGAUUAUUUUUUAUUUAUUGCAGUCGCUGCCACGACAACGCAUCGCGUCCCCCUCGAAUCCGACCCUGAAGUCGUCUAUAUAGAGGACUUCCUCAAAUUUGUUAAAACUAAAAAAUAAGUUUAUAGGUUUGUGCAUAUUUAUACCGGGUGAUUCAUUAGAAGUGAGGACAAUUUGAAU